GCAAAAGAGUGGGAAGAUCUUUGAGUAGAGGUGACAGACCUACCGAGCUCAGUUAUAGCUGGUUGCCUAUAAAAAGAAUAGAAGUUCAGCCUUUACCCUUCUUCUCUCAACACUGUACAUGCUUAUAGUGACACAAAGAAGUAUAAAGAGUUAUUCAAGGGGGGAACAGCCCCCUUGAAAAAAGAUACAACUUUAUUAGCUGGCUAAAGAUUAAUAGACCUCAGGCAAAAUACCUUGGUGGGCCUAAAAGCAGCCAUCCAUGCAGAAAGCGUUAAAGCUCAAGUACUUCGCCCCUCCUUAAUACCAACAAUACUAUCUUAAGCCCCUUUAUUAAUAGUAGGCCUUUUCAUGCAACCAUGAAAGAGAUACUGCUAAAAUGAGUAAUAAGAGGACUGCUCCUCUCCCCAACACCUGUAUACCUCAGAACGAACCCCCACUGAAAAUUAACGCCCCCAACCAAAAGAGGGGCCUGGGAUAGCCCAAAAUAAACUAGAAGCUCCCCCAAGAUUUAGCGUUGACCCUACACAGGUGUGUUUAAGGAAAGACUAAAAGAAAAAGAAGGAACUCGGCAAACACUGGCCUCGCCUGUUUACCAAAAACAUCGCCUCUUGCAACGAACGUAUAAGAGGUCCCGCCUGCCCUGUGACUAACCAGUUUAACGGCCGCGGUAUUUUGACCGUGCGAAGGUAGCGUAAUCACUUGUCUUUUAAAUGGAGACCUGUAUGAAUGGCACAACGAGGGCUAAGCUGUCUCCUUUUUCCAGUCAAUGAAAUUGAUCUUCCCGUGCAGAAGCGGGAAUAUAAACAUAAGACGAGAAGACCCUAUGGAGCUUAAGACACAAGGUAAACCAUGUAAAACACCUACUUAAAUAGAAUUAACUAAGUGGUUAUUACCCCUCUUGUCUUUGGUUGGGGCGACCGCGGGGAAAUAAAUAUCCCCCACGUGGAAUGGGGCCCUCCCCUCUAAAGCCAGAGCCACAGCUCUAGCUAGCAGAAUAUCUGACCUACAAGAUCCGGCAAGACCGAUCAACGGACCGAGUUACCCUAGGGAUAACAGCGCAAUCCCCUUUUAGAGCCCAUAUCGACAAGGGGGUUUACGACCUCGAUGUUGGAUCAGGACAUCCUAAUUGGUGCAGCCGCUA
rnacentral:rRNA from 1 species